GACAGAGGUCCCGAGCGUUGUUCGGAUUCAUUGGGCGUAAAGGGUGUGUAGGCGGUCGGGUAAGUCAGGUGUGAAAUCUCACAGCUUAACUGUGAAACUGCGCUUGAUACUGCUCGGCUAGAGGAUCGGAGGGGGUAACGGAAUCUAUGGUGUAGCAGUGAAAUGCGUAGAUAUCAUAAGGAACACCGGUGGCGAAGGCGGUUACCUGGAAGAUUCCUGACUCUGAAACACGAAAGCCAGGGGAGCAAACGGG
rnacentral:rRNA from 1 species